rnacentral:lncRNA from 1 species
UUUUUUGUUUCUUUUCCAUUCUUGUUGUUUUUCAUUUUUCCUUUUCUGUUCUUUCUAUUUUUCUUCAGAAGAUGCCCACAUCAAUAUAAUGGAUCCAAAAUUUUCAACACACUAGCAUCACGAUGGGAAGCAUCCAUGAUAAAUUCCACUUAGUUCCAGCAUUUUAUAAUUUUCUAUGAUUUUUUUGAUGAAAACCCCUAAAACACUAGC